CGGACCUCUGGUGUUCCGGUUGUUCUGCCAGGAGCAAUGCCGGGUAGCCACGUCCGGAAGGGAUAACCGCUGAAGGCAUCUAAGCGGGAAGCCCACCCCGAGAUUAAGUCUCCCGUGUCGUAAGACACCUUAAGGUCCCUGGAAGACCACCAGGUUGAUAGGCUGGAGGUGUAAGCACAGUAAUGUGUUCAGCUUACCAGUACUAAUAGACCGUGCGGCUUGACCUGCUCCUUUCUCU
rnacentral:rRNA from 1 species